UCAGACUUUUGAAAACGAAUUUUGAAAACGUUCCUAAUCUGUGCCUGGUAUGACUUCGAAAGGUCGAGAGCCAGUAUUUUUCUUCUUCGACAUCGAAGCCGCGAACAGUUCAGUUGGUGCUGACAUAAUUCAAUUUGGGUUACGUGCGAUCCAAGUGUCCAUUUGAUGGCAGAGUUUAGUGCAUUUGUGAAAACAAAGCAGAAAUUAUCAUCAUUCACCAUCAAACACCAGAUCCUUUUCCUCUUGUUUUCAAGAGGAUGAUGAAAUGGGUGACCAAUAGGACUUUGGCAGCAAGCAGGAAAAGUAGAAAAAAGGGAAAACAACAGAAAAUGUUUUACCCAGUUUUGCUUGCUCAUGGUGGCAAUCGGUCGGACUUUCCGAUGUUGGUGGACAACAUCUCUCGCCACAAAGCCUCAUCCGGCUAUUUGUACCCGAGACUUCGUG